CCCGUCCGGGUCCGUGGUUGCGCCGUAGCCGGCGUCCUCCGAGUGGGGACGUCGAUUCGGCAAGCCGAUGCCAGCCGCAGGCGAAACGGCCCACGUAAGGCGACUUUUCGUCGACCGAUCACGGUGCGGCUUAGAGGUAAGCCCUGCCUCGCCGGAGGUCCCGAUGUCCUCCGGGUCAGGGAGAAGGGCAGUAGUGGCACACAAGCGCCGCGAGACCCUCAGCAGGCGGAUGUGGGGACGAAGACCAGGUCGGCCGGACGGG
rnacentral:ncRNA from 1 species